rnacentral:rRNA from 1 species
GACAGAGGUGCCAAGCGUUAGGCGGAAUCACUGGGCGUAAAGCGCACGUAGGCGGAUCUUUAAGUCAGGGGUGAAAUCCUGGAGCUCAACUCCAGAACUGCCUUUGAUACUGAGGUACUCGUAGUUCCGGGAGAGGUGAGUGGAACUGCGAGUGUAGAGGUGAAAUUCGUAGAUAUUCGCAAGAACACCAGUGGCGAAGGCGGCUCACUGGCCCGGUACUGACGCUGAGGUGCGAAAGCGUGGGGGAGCAAACAGG